GCUCAGAUUGAACGCUGGCGGCAGGCCUAACACAUGCAAGUCGAACGGUAACAGGAAGCAGCUUGCUUCUUUGCUGACGAGUGGCGGACGGGUGAGUAAUGUCUGGGAAACUGCCUGAUGGAGGGGGAUAACUACUGGAAACGGUAGCUAAUACCGCAUAACGUCGCAAGACCAAAGAGGGGGACCUUCGGGCCUCUUGCCAUCGGAUGUGCCCAGAUGGGAUUAGCUAGUAGGUGGGGUAACGGCUCACCUAGGCGACGAUCCCUAGCUGGUCUGAGAGGAUGACCAGCCACACUGGAACUGAGACACGGUCCAGACUCCUACGGGAGGCAGCAGUGGGGAAUAUUGCACAAUGGGCGCAAGCCUGAUGCAGCCAUGCCGCGUGUAUGAAGAAGGCCUUCGGGUUGUAAAGUACUUUCAGCGGGGAGGAAGGGAGUAAAGUUAAUACCUUUGCUCAUUGACGUUACCCGCAGAAGAAGCACCGGCUAACUCCGUGCCAGCAGCCGCGGUAAUACGGAGGGUGCAAGCGUUAAUCGGAAUUACUGGGCGUAAAGCGCACGCAGGCGGUUUGUUAAGUCAGAUGUGAAAUCCCCGGGCUCAACCUGGGAACUGCAUCUGAUACUGGCAAGCUUGAGUCUCGUAGAGGGGGGUAGAAUUCCAGGUGUAGCGGUGAAAUGCGUAGAGAUCUGGAGGAAUACCGGUGGCGAAGGCGGCCCCCU
rnacentral:rRNA from 1 species